UAUUUUUGAAGACAUCCAAGUUCCAUUUUUUUUUUCUUUUUCCUUCUUCAAUUUACAGAGAACUUCUAAGAGAGAGUUUGGAAGAAGAAGAGAAAUUUUACUAGAAUUUUUAGGUUGAAGAAGAGGAGGAGAACUCAAGCAAAGUGUAUCAAUGGCUGAAUUUUAGUUCAUUCUGCACAUCACUGGUUUUUAAUUCGGUUUGAACUCUUCAAAAGGAAUUAAGAGGGCAGUUGGUUUUCACUCGAAAUCAGAAGGUCUCUGGUUUUUCUUGUAUUUCAGAGUGUAUCGGUGGAGUUAGAAUCUCUAUUUGGGACAAGUUAAAGAGGUCGUGUGCGCGCGAUUCUGGAAGUGGUUCUGUUUUGAGGGUUAUAUGUGUUUAUGCACGGGGAAUCAGAUUUAUAUGUCUUCAGGCCGAGAAGAAUUAAACCGAGCUUAUAGACCAAGGAUCUAGCCCAAGACUGUAGAGAUCGACUUCCCGGUGCCUGAUAGACUGCCAUAGUCUGUGGAAGCUUCAUUAUCGAUUGCCAGUACGUGUUUUGAGUUGGGCAUAGAGUCUGGUGUGUUGUGGUGUAUAUACACCUUGUAUGUUAUAGAUACUCCACAGUUUGUAUAAGUUUUAGGAGCUGUAGUUGUGUAAAUUUUGUUGGUUAUAUUUUGAUUAAGGUGUCUUUAGGUUUACUCGUGAAAUCGGUAAAUUUUGAGGUACACUUCAUGUUUGUGUUUGACUAGCUGUGUUUGACUAGCCUAAGAUCCGCUGUGUUUUGUGGCAUGUACAAUAGUUUAUAUACUAGAUUGGCAAGUUCAUCACAUGAAAGUUUUAAGCAGAGUCGACAGAUACAGGUACAGUAAAGCGUUGUUCGUCGGCUUCACGCCAUCUUUCGGUCUAAGGUAGCAGGUAGUCCGGGAGGGGGUGUGACAACUUGGUAUCAGAGCAGUUUGCUCCAUGGGAAUUAAGGUAGAGCGGUUAGCUCUAAGAAGAAACUGGAAAGUAAAUAAUUGAAAGUCAAGUUAGCUUAAAGGGAAUUAGUGGAGUAUGGUCUAGGUAAGGGUAGAAGUGAGUCCAAUUAUUAUUAAUACGUGAGUAGACAUUUAGUAUCAUGCAUUUGAGUUAAGUAUUUAUAGUAUGUCUAAUGUGUUGACAUAUUAUAGGAGUCAUGCCACCACGUACUGGUAGACGACGCCGGCAGAAUCAGGACGGGAUGCAAGGUCCUACCCAAGGUCCAUCUGUAGGGGAAUCUA